UUUAAGAAACAUUUGUAGGACUAAGCUGGUCACACCUCUUUGUAGGCCAGCUGUGCUGAGGAAUGAAUCCGUAUUGCAGAGCACAGUGAAUUUGGGCUUGGAAUCACUCAGGUUGCUGGGUUCCACUCGUAGCUCUGUCAUUUACUGUCUCAAUAGCAACUUCCUCAUCUGGAAUAUGGGACAGUAACACUUGGCUUCCUGUGAUUAUGAAAAUGAAGCAAUAUAUGUAAAUAUUUAGCCAGGGUGGGUUUACUGUAAGUGCUUGGCAUAUGGCUCUGCCUCAAAAUAUAGGGGAUGAGCAUGCAUGGCAGAUGUACAAGACACACUUCCCACGCUUGUUUGCAUUUUUCUUCCUCUGAGUAUUUCCAAAGUGACAUGCCAAGUCAAGAAGGCUGCUAUCAACCCAAGAAACCGAGGCCAGGACUGGCCUGGGAUUAUUAGGAUGAGCUGAAUAAAUGUCAUGUGGCCUGGGAGCAGUCCCCGGACUGGGCUCUGCAGCCACGGGACAGGAGUCAAGGACCACUCAGCAUUUCCAAAACAAAUCGUUGCUCUGUAAACUCACUUCCGAGUCCCAACAAAUGGCAGUGAAUCUUGUGGAUAAGAGACCUGGAGCAGAAACAGGCCCAGCAUCCAGCCAGCACUGUCACCAGACUUGCAAAUGAAGCCACCAUAAAGGAUACAGCCAGCAUCCUGCCUGACUGGUGGGGCCAGCAGAACAACCCCUGCCAAAAACGCCCAGCCCUGAUUGCUGACCAUGGAGUAAACAAAUAAAAUGGUGAUUAUUUUUAAGACGUUACAAU
rnacentral:lncRNA from 10 species